UGGGGGAUAUUGCACAAUGGGCGCAAGCCUGAUGCAGCGACGCCGCGUGGGGGAUGAAGGCCUUCGGGUUGUAAACUUCUUUUGCUCUGAACAAGGCGCACUUUGGGGUGUGUUGAGUGUAGGGGUUGAUUAGCGCCGGCUAACUACGUGCCAGCAGCCGCGGUAAUACGUAGGGCGCGAGCGUUGUCCGGAAUUAUUGGGCGUAAAGGGCUUGUAGGUGGCUGGGUGCGUCUGUCGUGAAAGCUCAUGGCUUAACUGUGGGUUUGCGGUGGGUACGGGCUGGCUUGAGUGCAGUAGGGGAGGCUGGAAUUCCUGGUGUAGCGGUGGAAUGCGCAGAUAUCAGGAGGAAUACCGGUGGCGAAGGCGGGUCUCUGGGCUGUUACUGACACUGAGGAGCGAAAGCAUGGGGAGCGAACAGG
rnacentral:rRNA from 1 species